rnacentral:rRNA from 1 species
UACGAAGGGGGCUAGCGUUGCUCGGAAUUACUGGGCGUAAAGCGCACGUAGGCGGCUCUUUAAGUCGGAGGUGAAAUCCUGGAGCUCAACUCCAGAACUGCCUUCGAUACUGAAGAGCUCGAGUCCGGGAGAGGUGAGUGGAACUGCGAGUGUAGAGGUGAAAUUCGUAGAUAUUCGCAAGAACACCAGUGGCGAAGGCGGCUCACUGGCCCGGUACUGACGCUGAGGUGCGAAACGUGGGGAGCAAACAGGGAU